UCGUGUAUUAACUGAAGUAUCUCUUAUUAACUUAUAGGAGCGAAGAAUCAUCACCGGUGGAGAAGGAAAAGAAAAAGAAAAAGACAAAAAUAUCACCAAAAAAGUAAGCACUUCUUUGGAUAAUAUUCUGUAAUAAAAUUAAUUUUUUAUUUCUGAUUGGUACUCUUUUUUUUCCACCCAGAACACAACCAAAAAAGAAAAAAGUUGUUGUGGAGGAUUCACCUCCUAAAGAAGAUCAAUACUUUGACGGUGAGACAUAUGAAAUAUCAAGUGACGAACUAGAUGAAUGGUUAAGGCAAAACGUUGAUAAAUCUGCUGCAGAGGGGGAGAACCAAGCUGACCUGCGAUAGACAGAAGGUCGCUAUGUGUCGUCUGAAAUGUAAGAAGCUUUAUUAUUUAAUAAAAUCUUGUUAUCAUGAUUUGGGUGUAUUUUGUGGAACCAUUUGGGUGUAUUUUGUGGAUCAAGUUGGGUGUAUGUUGUUUACUAAGUUGGGAUAUUUCGUUUGUUUUGUUGGGUGUAUAUUGUCCAUUCGGUUGGUUGUAUCUUGUGCAUUCAUUUGGGUGUAUUUUAUACCUGUAUCUU